AGGGGCGUGGCUCAAUUGGUAGAGCACCGGUCUCCAAAACCGGCGGUUGCAGGNUCGAGUCCUGUCGCCCCUG
rnacentral:tRNA from 1 species